UACGAAGGGUGCAAGCGUUACUCGGAAUUACUGGGCGUAAAGCGUGCGUAGGUGGUUCGUUAAGUCUGAUGUGAAAGCCCUGGGCUCAACCUGGGAAUGGCAUUGGAUACUGGCGACCUAGAGUGCGGUAGAGGGGUGUGGAAUUCCCGGUUUAGCAGUGAAAUGCGUAGAUAUCGGGAGGAACAUCUGUGGCGAAGGCGACACCCUGGACCAGCACUGACACUGAGGCACGAAAGCGUGGGGAGCAAACAGG
rnacentral:rRNA from 1 species